GUGCUUGCUUCGGCGGUACAUAUACUAAAAUUGCAAUGAUAUAGAGAAGAUUAGCAUGGCCCCUGCACAAGGAUGACUUGAAAAGUUGUGAAGCGUUCCAUAUUUUU